CUACCAUAAUACGUUGUAACCAUCCGUACCGUACCAAUCUUCACGCCCUCGACUCGUACGAGGCGUGCCUCUGGUCUCGAAGAUCCUACGAAUCCCUCCCAUCUCUUCCUCAAAAAUUAUCUAGACCUAGGAAAUAGUGGGGUACACAGAGAACGAGGAAAUGUCUUUAACGUGUGUGAAAAUGUCGGAAGAUGUGUGGUUAACAUGUCUGACGCAUGCAUUGUCCACAGAGACCGAAGAGAUCAUGGGUCUUCUUCUCGGUGAUAUUGAGUACUCUAAGAAUGGGAGUGUAACUGCACUUAUUUGGGGAGCAUCACCGCAAACACGCUCCGACCGCAGAAAGGAUCGUGUGGAGACUAAUCCUGAACAGUUGGCUGCCGCAUCAGCUCAGGCUGAGAUAUCCUUGAUUCUUCUUUAUGUGCUUUGUCAAUCUUAUUUAAAUUAGCAUGAAUAUCUAUAUACUCUUGCCGCUUUCAAUAUAUGGAUGUUGUUGAUCAAUGAAACUAGCUAUUGCUUUUCCCAUGAUCACAAAAUUAUAACCGCAUAUUAAUGAUAUGUAAUCUUUAGAAAUGUUUCUUCCAAAAGGAAAACGGCAUUGCGUUUCACCAACUGGGCUCUUCUUCUGUUUGCUCAAAAAAAAAAAAAAAAAAAAGAGGAGCUCAGCUUCUGUUUUCCAGUUAGUUUUCUGCUAAGUUAAAUUUUCCUGGUUAAUCAAACAAAUUGUGAUUAUUAAGGAAUGUAAGAUUUUUUCAGUAGAUAGGCUUAGUAUAUGCCAAGUGAAUGACCUUCACAACUCACAUGAUAUUGUGCAAUUAACUUUAGAAAACAGAAUGACCACAUUGACAGGAAGAACAACAAGAGUAAUUGGGUGGUAUCAUUCGCAUCCUCAUAUUACAGUUCUUCCUUCCCAUGUUGAUGUACGAACUCAGGCGAUGUAUCAACUUCUAGAUUCUGGGUUUAUCGGGCUAAUAAUUUCCUGUUUUAGUGAAGAUGUAAACAAGGUUGGAAGAAUCCAAGUAAUUGCUUUCCAAUCCUCAGACGGGAAGCAGAAUCAUGUGUCAAGACCUAUAUCUCUAUCCCCUGUAAAUAGAAGUUCAAUUAUAGAUGUUGAAUCAUCUUUAAGUUCCUCAGAAAAUGCAUCAGCAAAAUCCAGCUCUGCAAGGGUAGAGAGUCCUGAACAAGACACUGGCGAUUCAACAACUGCUGGAGGUAUUAAGGGUGGUGGAAGAUCCACGGACUUGGGAGUUCUCUUUGCGCACGCGGAUGCUGAUUAUAUAGGGAGGAAAAGGAUGGGAGGAAGCUACCAUGCUGAUAGUUCAGAAAAUGUUGUUGAUAUAGACCCCAUGGAUAUGUCUGAGAGCAUGCAAGAGGCUAUGCACCGUUCAAAUUUGGAUGUGAGGUAUACAUGAAGGUGCAGAGCAUGUCAGGAAAGAAAUUCCUCUUCAUGUUUUGUCAACGUCAUCCCUUAUUGAGCUUGAGUCUCCUCUAAUGUCGUUUACGGACUUGCAGCAUGUGCUAUAUGAAGAGGAGCAGGCAGCAUAUAACCAAGCUGUAUUGCAAAAUGCUAGGGAUGGGAAAGUGCAUCCUCUUACUUUCAUACAUCACACCUCAACUUAUCAGGCUUCCAUGUGCAAAUUAAUGGAAUAUUGUUUAAGUCCUGCCAUAAAUGCACUCAGGGACCGCUUGAAAGAGAAUGAGAUUCAGUUAGCAAAGUUGAACAGUGAAUCCAAAAGUUUAGAGGCUGAGGGUCUUAGAGCGGGUGAAUCAAGUUCAGGAUCUCCUCGUCAAAUUCCGUAUCAUGAUCUUCGAGGAAAUGCUGUGUUUGGUAACAGGGACUUGCACAGUUCAGCUGAACCGAUUAGCAUGAGGCCAAGUGUUGCCGGUCCUGGUAGCCGGAGCAGAAAAGGGUCUCGCUGAAAUCUGAAAACACAUCGUCUUCUCAAUGCAUGUUGUGUUGUGUAUUUAAAUGUAGAAACUUCGAAGCUAAAAAAAAGAAGUUUGUUUUAUGGAAUGUGGCAUUUUAUAUCUCCACAUAUUUCAUUCUUUUUUCCAGUUUGGCAUUCUGUAGUCAAAGCGACGCAUAGAAAAGCAGGAUGCAGUGUGCACGAGAAGGGGGCUUUUUUUGGGGGGGGGGGGGGGUCGGAUGAAGUGCAUCUGUACUGUUUAUCCGUACAUAUAAUACUAGAGAUUUAAAGGACCUGACCCCAAUAUCAGUCAUAUAGCAUAUUUGAGUUCGCGCAGAUGCAUAUUAAAUUCAUUUUGGGUGUGUUCA